CUCCCACAAACUCAGCCCCUUUCUGAGAGGCGCGUUCUCAAUUUCCACCCUGUUCCAGGAUCAGCUUCCUCCUCCAGGGUUAAGGUUUGUCUUUAUCCAUACAGGACAUACCAGUUAGAGACCAGUGACAGCCUUGGAUGAAGUGUGUAGAGCUUGUGGUCCCUUUGCACUCUGAUUAACAGAAGCCUUCUCUGGAAAAGCACAGCAGCUUCCCCAGGAGGUGCUAGGCAGACAGAACCAGAAAAUGAAGAGCACACACAGGGGAAGAGAAAGGCUGAGAAUCACAACAAUCUCACGAACAAGACUCAUCACCGUCAGUGAAAACGCUUGGUUCCUUGGGACCUGUGUACUUAUCCUUCAACCUGCGUCAUGCACUCUAGAAACAACUUCAUAAUCUCAAAUGGGAAAGAAAAAUAUCCCAGCUCUCUGGAGAUGUCUGAGGAGGACAGCAGAGAAAGACAUAGAGAUUGCUUUGAUCCAUUUUUAGUCUGAGUGCAGGGCCAUCUGCCUUGGCUUCUCUGAGGUGCCUGGUCCCAUGCUGCAUGGAAGUGAGACAUCCAGGUGACCCACAGGGUUGACAAAGCUGGGAUCUCAUUGCCAGGCCACCAAUUGGAACCUACUCUGUAGCAAUGAGACUCCCCCAAACCAUCCAGCAUCCAUGGAAGAACUUCCUGGAGUUCUCAGCAUUAUCACCCUGCCUGAGUCUUCUAAGUCUUACCUACCAGGAUGCUCCUGCAGAAAGGAGGUCAGGCCUUGCAAAGGGCCACCUGGGGCUGAAGUCGACCAUGGACUUCAUCGCUAUAUUUAGGAUAAUGCAAGUGCACUCCCACAUGAUAUAUUUAAUCUGUGUCCUUGUGCACAUGCAUGUGUGUGCUCAACUUUAUGUAUACAUAGUGUGUGCCGACACAUGUACUUCAGGCUCAAAUGCCAUUUCACAGGUGCUGGACACCUGGACUUUUGGACACAGGCUUUUGCAAAGCCAUUGAGGUUGAAAUGCACCUGCCUAGCCGGAUGAUGGUGGCACACGCCUUUAAUCAGGAGGAAGAGGAGGAUCUCGGCCAUCUUCAGUGUUACAUGAAUUCCUAGGAGCUCAGUUUAAGAAAGAGCACGUGACACCUGCCUGACUGGAAUUUGUUCACGUACAAGAAGAGACAGAGA